CAAUAGCGUAUAUUAAAGUUGUUGCAGUUAAAAAGCUCGUAGUUGGAUUUCGGGGCAGCCUGGCUGGUCCGCCGCAAGGCGAGUACUGGUCAGCCGCCCUUCCUCUCGAAAGCCCCGACUGCUCUUUAUUGCAGUGGUCGGGUAGUUCGGGACGUUUACUUUGAAAAAAUUAGAGUGUUCAAGGCAGGCCUACGCCUGAAUACAUUAGCAUGGAAUAAUGGAAGAGGACCUCGGUCCUAUUUCGUUGGUUUCCAGGACCGAAGUAAUGAUUAAGAGGGACAGUUGGGGGCAUUCGUAUUUAAUUGUCAGAGGUGAAAUUCUCGGAUUUAUGAAAGACGAACAACUGCGAAAGCAUUUGCCAAGGAUGUUUUCAUUAA
rnacentral:rRNA from 1 species